ACGUAUUUAGCCGGUGCUUAUUCCUUAGGUACCGUCAUUUUCUUCCCUAAGAAAAGAACUUUACGACCCGAAAGCCUUCUUCGUUCACGCGGCGUUGCUGCAUCAGGUUUGCGCCCAUUGUGCAAUAUUCCCC
rnacentral:rRNA from 1 species